UACGAAGGGGACUAGCGUUGUUCGGAAUUACUGGGCGUAAAGGGCGCGUAGGCGGUUGGAUAAGUCAGCUGUGAAAACCACGGGCUUAACUCGUGGCCUGCAGUUGAGACUGUCUGGCUUGAGUGUGGGAGAGGAGAGUGGAAUUCCUGGUGUAGCGGUGAAAUGCGUAGAUAUCAGGAGGAACACCGGUGGCGAAGGCGGCUCUCUGGACCACAACUGACGCUGAGGCGCGAAAGCUAGGGGAGCAAACAGG
rnacentral:rRNA from 1 species